GAAUCUUAAAAAGGAGCAAUUUUUAAAAAGAUGAUGUACAGGGAAACGGAAGUGAGCGGCGGGGCUAGCUGACCGUAACAGGUUGAGGGGCUCUUCGCAGAGUGAGCUGAAGAUGAAUACCAGAGGACUUGGAUCUCAGCUAAAGGACAGUAUUCCAGUUACUGAGCUGUCAGCAAGUGGACCUUUUGAAAGUCAUGAUCUUCUUCAGAAAGGUUUUUCUUGUGUGAAAAAUGAACUUUUGCCCAGUCAUCCUCUUGAAUUAUCAGAAAAAAAUUUCCAGCUCAACCAAGAUAAAAUGAAUUUUUCUACACUGAGAAACAUCCAGGGUCUGUUUGCUCCUCUAAAAUUGCAAAUGGAAUUCAAGGCAGUGCAACAGGUUCAGCGUCUUCCAUUUCUUCCAAGCUCAAACCUUUCACUUGAUAUUUUGAGGGGUAAUGAUGAGACUAUUGGGUUUGAAGACAUUCUUAAUGACCCAUCACAAAGUGAACUAAUGGGAGAACCACAUUUAAUGGUGGAAUAUAAACUUGGUUUACUGUAAUGCAGUGAGCUGACCAUGGAAAUGGAGGGGCUUUAUCUUGUUUACAAUCGUCUUUUUACUAUAAUUUUAUGUAUACAACAUUAAAAGUACUGACACAUGAAAAAAAUAAAAAAUUAAAAAAAUAAAAAGAUGAUGUACAAAAAAAUGCAGAGAACAUAACAAAUUCUCAACAACUGUUACUCCGGUCCUUGGCUAGUGACUAUUUUUAGUCAACACCUGAGUAGGUGCUCCUCUAAAGGACAGGUUUGAGUAACUCCUGAAUGUUCCUUCUAAUUAAAAGUGUAAGAAAGUGAGCUUACAGAAUUAUUUAAAGAUCACAAGUUUGAAGAUUUUCCCUAACAAUAACUAUAAAUAUCACCAACCCAUAUAAUCCUCCUCCUGUUUUUGGUGGUGAAAAUGUAAACUUCAAAAUAAAGAGGAACAAAAUUGGUGAUCUUGCAUUUGAAUUUAAGAUAUCUCAUGGAAAUUCAAAGUCCUAUUGCAAGACUAGAUACCCAUCAUCUCUCUGUCAUUACAGAUGUUUACCUGAAACAUUACAUCAAGCAACAGCUACACUAUCAACAUUUUUCUAAUUAAUGGAGAAGAAGAGGUAAUUGAGACAAGCAAAUCACUCUUCUUGAGUUAGCCAAACACUGACUACACUGUGUAAGGAGGCAGUAGCAGAAACUAGAUGGUAUAAAAAGUUAUACCGGGUCCACCAUGGUUGGGGAAACAGAAAUGGAAAAAGGAAAGGCUUGAUAUCUGAGACCAGGCUGAUGAAAAUCAUUGACUGAGGGCAUAAAUCAUCUGUGAAUAAUCUACUUGUACUUAACUGGAAGACUAAUGCAAAGCCAGAAAGAAUGUACAACAAAUCUGAGAAGGAGUGUAGCAUAAUUAAGGGCAGUUAGCAUAAUGGUUUAGAGAUCUAACUCUGGAGUCAAAGCCAAAAUUUUGUCAUUACUCCAUGAAAAGUAAUGUCUCUAAGCCUUAAUUUCUUCAUCUGUAAAAUGGUAUUAUUUAUUUUAUUUUUUAAAAAUAUGUCUUUAUUAAUCUCAGAGAG